rnacentral:lncRNA from 1 species
AUAUUUUUUCUACUCCUAUUUCAUGCUUCAUCUUAUUGUGGGGAAAUGCUAGUUGGAGGUAGGAGGAAUGACUGAUUCUUCAGUAGUUUUCUAGAUAUUUGAUUGAUGUUGUGAACCAUUUAACUUCAACCUUUAUGCCUUUUGAAGCUUAAAAACCAUGUUAUUACAACUCAAAAGCCUGGGUUUAUGAAACUUAAAGAAGGGUUUGAUUUUGGUUUUCCUGAGAUUUCCUUGU